rnacentral:rRNA from 1 species
GAUGAACGCUGGCGGCGUGCCUAACACAUGCAAGUCGAGCGAUUUACUUCGGUAAAGAGCGGCGGACGGGUGAGUAACGCGUGGGUAACCUGCCCUGUACACACGGAUAACAUACCGAAAGGUAUGCUAAUACGGGAUAAUAUGCUUUUAUCGCAUGGUAGAAGCAUCAAAGCUUUUGCGGUACAGGAUGGACCCGCGUCUGAUUAGCUAGUUGGUAAGGUAACGGCUUACCAAGGCGACGAUCAGUAGCCGACCUGAGAGGGUGAUCGGCCACAUUGGAACUGAGACACGGUCCAAACUCCUACGGGAGGCAGCAGUGGGGAAUAUUGCACAAUGGGCGAAAGCCUGAUGCAGCAACGCCGCGUGAGCGAUGAAGGCCUUCGGGUCGUAAAGCUCUGUCAUCAAGGAAGAUAAUGACGGUACUUGAGGAGGAAGCCCCGGCUAACUACGUGCCAGCCGCCGCCGUAA